rnacentral:rRNA from 1 species
GACGAACGCUGGCGGCGUGCUUAACACAUGCAAGUCGAACGGAAAGGCCCUGCUUUUGUGGGGUGCUCGCGUGGCGAACGGGUGUGUAACACGUGAGUAACCUGCCCUUGACUUUGGGAUAACUUCAGGAAACUGGGGCUACUACCGGAUAGGAGAUCCUGCUGCAUGGUGGGGGUUGGACAGUUUCGGCGGUUGGGGAUGGAUUGCCGGCUUACCAGCUGGUUGGGGGGGGAGUGGCUUACCCGGGGAUUGAAGGGUGGCCGGCCUGAGAGGGGUACCGGCCACAUUGGUCCUGAGAGACGGCGCAGAGGCGAACGUGAGGCAGCAGGGGAGAAUAUUGCACAACGGGGGGAAGCCUGAUGCAGAAAUGCUGCGUGUGGAAAGACGGCCUUCGGGUGGGAAACCGCUUUCGCCUGUGACGAAGCGGGAGUGACGGUAAUGGGUAAAGAAGCACCGGCUAACUACGUG